rnacentral:tRNA from 1 species
UGGGGUGUAGCCAAGCUGGUAAGGCAACUGUUUUUGGUACAGUGUACCGGAGGUUCGAAUCCUUCCACCCCAGCCA